rnacentral:rRNA from 1 species
CACGUAGGGUGCGAGCGUUGUCCGGAAUUAUUGGGCGUAAAGAGCUCGUAGGCGGUGUGUCGCGUCGGCCGUGAAAACCUGCAGCUUAACUGUGGGCGUGCGGUCGAUACGGGCAUCACUGGAGUUCGGCAGGGGAGACUGGAAUUCCUGGUGUAGCGGUGAAAUGCGCAGAUAUCGGGAGGAACACCGGUGGCGAAGGCGGCAUCCUGGACCGGCACUGACGCUGAGGAGCGAAAGCCAGGGGAGCAAACGGG